UAUUGCACAAUGGGGGAAACCCUGAUGCAGCAACGCCGCGUGAGUGAAGAAGUAUUUCGGUAUGUGAAGCUCUAUCAGCAGGGAAGAAGAUGAUGGUACCUGAUUAAGAAGCCCCGGCUAACUACGUGCCCGCCGCCGCGGUAAUACGUAGGGGGCAAGCGUUAUCCGGAUGUACUGGGUGUAAAGGGAGCGCAGACGGCAGUGCAAGUUUGGAGUGAAAGCCCGGGGCCCAACCCCGGAACUGCUCUGGAAACUGUGCGGCUAGAGUACUGGAGGGGCAGGCGGAAUUCCUAGUGUAGCGGUGAAAUGCGUAGAUAUUAGGAGGAACACCAGUGGCGAAGGCGGCCUGCUGGACAGUAACUGACGUUGAGGCUCGAAAGCGUGGGGAGCAAACAGG
rnacentral:rRNA from 1 species